GUGAAUCAUCAAAUCUUUGAACGCAAAUUGCACUCCCUGGUAUUCCGGGGAGUAUGCCUGUUUGAGGGUCGAUAGAACAAAAAUCUAUGCGUCGCUCUUUUUUUUUAAGGGUGAUCGCGUCGGAAUUUUGCCGUCUUUCUAAUGUUAAUUCUUGUAAAAGUGGCUUGAUAUUCAUCCAUCCGGUACGAAUUAAUUGUAUUUAAGAUCAACUUGGA
rnacentral:misc_RNA from 1 species